rnacentral:rRNA from 1 species
ACCUGCCCUUGACUUUGGGAUAACUUCAGGAAACUGGGGCUAAUACCGGAUAGGAGCUCCUGCUGCAUGGUGGGGGUUGGAAAGUUUCGGCGGUUGGGGAUGGACUCGCGGCUUAUCAGCUUGUUGGUGGGGUAGUGGCUUACCAAGGCUUUGACGGGUAGCCGGCCUGAGAGGGUGACCGGCCACAUUGGGACUGAGAUACGGCCCAGACUCCUACGGGAGGCAGCAGUGGGGAAUAUUGCACAAUGGGCGGAAGCCUGAUGCAGCAACGCCGCGUGCGGGAUGACGGCCUUCGGGUUGUAAACCGCUUUCGCCUGUGACGAAGCGUGAGUGACGGUAAUGGGUAAAGAAGCACCGGCUAACUACGUGCCAGCAGCCGCGGUGAUACGUAGGGUGCGAGCGUUGUCCGGAUUUAUUGGGCGU